rnacentral:rRNA from 1 species
GACGAACGCUGGCGGCGUGCUUAACACAUGCAAGUCGAACGGGCCCGCUCUCUUUUUUGGGGGUGGGUUGAGUGGCGAACGGGUGAGUAUCACGUGAGUAACCUGCCCCCUGCUCCUGGAUAACUGCUUGAAAGGGCGGCUAAUACGGGGUGUGCCGGCUGGUCCGCAUGGGCCUGGUCGGGAUAGUUUCAUCUUCGGGUGUUUCGGUGGGGGAUGGGCUCGCGGCCUAUCAGCUUGUUGGUGGGGUGAUGGCCCACCAAGGCGGUGACGGGUAGCCGGCCUGAGAGGGUGGGCGGCCACACUGGGACUGAGACACGGCCCAGACUCCUGCGGGAGGCAGCAGUGGGGGGUAUUGCACAAUGGGCGGAAGCCUGAUGCAGCGACGGCGCGUGAGGGAUGGAGGCCUUCGGGUUGUGAACCUCUUUCUCCGGUGGUGAAGGCCCUGUCCGUUGCGGCGGGGUUGACGGUAGCCGGGUAUGAAGCGCCGGCUAACUACGUG